rnacentral:snoRNA from 1 species
UCUUGGUGAUGAUACAAACAAGCUGAGCAAAAUGUAGUUGGUCCUUCAUUUGCACUAGCUGAUGUUUACUGUCCUUUCAAGACGGGGCUGAGAGAAGC